rnacentral:rRNA from 1 species
GACGAACGCUGGCGGCGUGCUUAACACAUGCCAGUCGAACGGAAAGGCCCUGCUUUUGUGGGGUGCUCGAGUGGCGAACGGGUGAGUAACACGUGAGUAACCUGCCCUUGACUUUGGGAUAACUUCAGGAAACUGGGGCUAAUACCGGAUAGGAGCUCCUGCUGCAUGGUGGGGGUUGGAAAGUUUCGGCGGUUGGGGAUGGACUCGCGGCUUAUCAGCUUGUUGGUGGGGUAGUGGCUUACCAAGGCUUUGACGGGUAGCCGGCCUGAGAGGGUGACCGGCCACAUUGGGACUGAGAUACGGCCCAGACUCCUACGGGAGGCAGCAGUGGGGAAUAUUGCACGAUGGGCGGAAGCCUGAUGCAGCAACGCCGCGUGCGGGAUGACGGCCGUCGGGUUGUAAACCGCUUGCGCCUGUGACGAAGCGUGAGUGACGGUAAUGGGUAAAGAAGCACCGGCUAACUACGUG